rnacentral:lncRNA from 1 species
CUUAAAGCCUAGGCCACUGGUCUUCAACUUUUCUUUUCCUCCUUUUAGCUGCAAGAAGUGUGAUGGCUUGAAGCCCCACCUGCAGGAUGGCAGGACUGCCCUGCCUGCCCUGGUCCUGUCAUUCAGGCUUGAGUUCAAACAACCUCGGUAUUAUGAACAAGUGAUGCCUAAAUUGUUUGGAGUCAACUGACAUCUAUUCUUGAAAUGCCUUGCCCAG